rnacentral:misc_RNA from 1 species
CUGCCCAAAGCCAAUAAUCAAUGGAAUGCUGUUCGAUUAAACGAUGCACGGGGCUGCCAUUGGAGGUGAGAUUAUCAGUCUCUCUAUAAGAAUUCCUAAACAGCCAAAGCAAAUCGUAGGUGAAUUUCCUCGGCAUCUCAUACACGUAAACCCUAAUCGGAAGCUCAAGAGGAUAGUAUGGAUCCCCGUACAGUCUCUCACUCUCCCUCAUAAAAAUUUUCUCAUCUAAUUCUGUCAACU